rnacentral:rRNA from 1 species
UCCUACGGGAGGCAGCAGUGAGGAAUAUUGGGCAAUGGACGGAAGCCUGACCCAGCCAUGCCGCGUGAAGGAUGAAGGCGUUCUGCGUUGUAAACUUCUUUUACUAGAGAAGAAAAUAUAUUUUUUGAAGUAUUUUGACGGUAUCUAGUGAAUAAGCACCGGCUAACUCCGUGCCAGCAGCCGCGGUAAUACGGAGGGUGCAAGCGUUAUCCGGAUUUACUGGGUUUAAAGGGUACGUAGGCGGACAUUUAAGUCAGGGGUGAAAUCCCGAGGCUCAACCUCGGAACUGCCUUUGAAACUAAGUGUCUUGAAUUAUGUUGAGGUUGGCGGAAUACAACAUGUAGCGGUGAAAUGCAUAGAUAUGUUGUGGAACACCGAUUGCGAAGGCAGCUGACUGAGCAUAUAUUGACGCUGAAGUACGAAAGCGUGGGUAUCAAACAGGAUUAGAUACCCUGGUAGUCCACGCCGUAAACUAUGAUUACUCGAUGUACGCGAUAUAUUGUGUGCAUCCAAGCGAAAGCGUUAAGUAAUCCACCUGGGAAGUACGUUCGCAAGAAUGAAACUCAAAGGAAUUGACGG